rnacentral:rRNA from 1 species
AGAGUUUGAUCCUGGCUCAGAUUGAACGCUGGCGGCGUGCCUAACACAUGCAAGUCGAGCGGUAACAGGUGUAGCAAUACAUGCUGACGAGCGGCGAACGGGUGAGUAAUGCUUUGGAAUCUUCCCAGUAGUGGGGAAUAACCAGUCGAAAGAUUGGCUAAUACCGCAUACGUCUGUAAAGGGAAAGCGGGGGCUCGUAAGACCUCGCGCUAUUGGAUGAGCCAAAGUCGGAUUAGCUAGUUGGUGGGGUAAUGGCCUACCAAGGCGACAAUCCGUAGCUGGUCUGAGAGGACGACCAGCCACACCGGAACUGAGACACGGUCCGGACUCCUACGGGAGGCAGCAGUGGGGAAUAUUGGACAAUGGGGGAAACCCUGAUCCAGCGACGCCGCGUGUGUGAAGAAGGCCUGCGGGUUGUAAAGCACUUUUAGUGGGGACAAAAAGCUACGGAUUAAUACUCUGUGGUCUUGAUUUAACCCAAAGAAAAAGCACCGGCUAACUCUGUGCCAGCAGCCGCGGUAAUACAGAGGGUGCGAGCGUUAAUCGGAAUUACUGGGCGUAAAGCGCGCGUAGACGGUUUUGUAAGUCAGAUGUGAAAUCCCUGGGCUCAACCUGGGAACUGCAUUUGAGACUGCAUGGCUAGAGUAUCGAAGAGGGAAGUGGAAUUUCCGGUGUAGCGGUGAAAUGCGUAGAUAUCGGAAGGAACACCAGUGGCGAAAGCGACUUCCUGGUCGAAUACUGACGUUCAUGUGCGAAAGCGUGGGGAGCAAACAGGAUUAGAUACCCUAGUAGUCC